rnacentral:tmRNA from 1 species
GGGGGUGUACCGGUUUCGACUGGUGCGGUUUGGGGCGCGGGUUGCAGGUGGAGGCGGCCGACUCCUUAAACAGACCAAAAAAUUUAAUUGCCGAUAACGACAAUUACGGCUACGCCUUAGCGGCGUAAUCGCGUGGCGCCGUCCCGCCGCCUUGAGGGACGGAUGCCGCGUCGCAAUCAGGGCUGGCUAAAUAAGGCUUCCGGGCCUUAUGCGGCGAGAUUUCCCCGGAAUACGGACGCUCCGCCCGCCGCGAAGCCAAGAGCGCCCCGACAAUCAGAUACGUGGCUAAACCUGUAGAAGCCGGCGCUUCACGUACUAGGACGCGGGUUCGACUCCCGCCAUCUCCAGUG